AGGAAGGGGGAUGGUUUGCUCAUGAGUGGCGCCUAAAGGGUGGUCCUUCUAGUUUUCCCGCCUCUGUGUCUCAGCUCACGUCUGGCGCAGAGAGAGAGAGAGAGAGAGAGAGAGAGAGAGAGAGAGAGAGAGAGAGAGAGAGAGAGAGAGAGAGAGAGAGAGAGAGAGAGAGAGAGAGAGAGAGAUAUGCCUAUGUGAAUAUAUGCAUGUGUGCAAGUUGAAAUCACUAAUUUAUGCAUUGUCAACUGUAAUGCUGAUACACAUUUUGUCACCACUAGUUUCCACUACAUACAAGCUGGUGUUCAUCACUUCUUUGUUACCCGUUUCUGGCACUUCCAGUUGUGUGAUCCAGAAAAUCACUUUUCAUUCUGCAUAGAUGGCCCAUAUCAUUUGUCUUUUUUGUUAGUAGUUGCUUCUAGGCAAUGAAUAUAGUCAUUACUAAAACUCUGUGGAUCAUUUGUAAAAGUCAAUAGAGAAGUUUGCUUGUGUUAACAAGUCUGUUUGAGGAAUUAUUUUAUAUUACUAAUGUUGUACUCAUUCCAAGUGCAAGUAUUGUGAGCACCUCUGUUUUUAUAUAUUAGUAAGUGUGGUAGUGUUACAUAGUAUCAUUACCUUUGCUAGUCUCAGCUCUCUCAUCUUCCAGGAGCUGGGAUUCUGGCUACUUGAUUUUAUAAUUCAGUAUUAUUUGUCGUGAAUUUUUUUAUACUUUGCUGCACAGUUUAUGAUACUGCAUAUGUUGUGUGCAUGGGUGCCAAUGACCACAUAGUACUGUCUGGGGUUUGCUUGUUAUGGACUGACCAAAAAUGUCAGUGAUAUAUUGUAAAUUUUUUCUUUUCUUUUUUUCACUGGCAUAUUUUUUUUUUUUUUUUUUUUUUUCCUCUCCUUCUCUCCAUUAACAAUUGAUAUAGAUAUAUUUAGGGUUGGAUUAUUGUAUAGAAGCAACCUUUACCCUGUCUUUCAUGGAAAAAUUAAACCACCUUUUUCUCCUCCCCCCUCCUCUCAAGGAAUCUGUACAUUGGUUUUAAGAUAUUAGCAUACCAAUUGGAAAUUGAUUAGAAAUUGGAAAUGUGAAGUGGUUAGAUGAAGUGAAGACAAAGCAGGUCACUCACAACAAGGGUCCAAACUAGUACUGGUAGGUGUUUGUAAGAAGCUCACGACCAUGUUCUUCCAUCUUGAAGUGAGCCUGUCUAUGCUGGACUAUAUUUAUGAAACUAAAGCAUUGUAAACUCCCAGCAAUUUUUAAAUAAAAUUAUGUAUUUU